AGAGUUUGAUUAUGGCUCAGAACGAACGUUAGCGGCGCGCCUAACACAUGCAAGUCGAACGAGAAAGGGCUUCGGCCCCGGUACAGUGGCGCACGGGUGAGUAACACGUAGGUAACCUACCCUCGAGUGGUGGAUAACAUCCCGAAAGGGGUGCUAAUACAGCAUGAGACCACGGUUUCGAGAGGAACAGGGGUCAAAGCGGGCCACUUCAUGAAAGCUCGCGCUUGGGGAUGGGCCUGCGGGGCAUCAGCUAGUUGGUGGGGUAAUGGCCUACCAAGGCAUAGACGCCUAGCUGGUCUGAGAGGAUGAUCGGCCACACUGAAACUGAGACACGGUCCAGACUCCUACGGGAGGCAGCAGUGGGGAAUUUUGCGCAAUGGGCGAAAGCCUGACGCAGCGACGCCGCGUGAGUGAUGAAGGCCCUCGGGUUGUAAAGCUCUGUGGGGAGGGAAGAAUAAGAUAUGGUUAAUACCCAUGUCGAUGACGGUACCUCCUUAGCAAGCACCGGCUAACUCUGUGCCAGCAGCCGCGGUAAGACAGAGGGUGCGAACGUUGUUCGGAAUUACUGGGCGUAAAGCGCGUGUAGGCGGCUAUGCAAGUCGGAUGUGAAAGCCCUGGGCUUAACCUAGGAAGUGCACUCGAAACUGCAUAGCUCGAGUCCCGGAGAGGAUGGUGGAAUUCUGAGUGUAGAGGUGAAAUUCGUAGAUAUUCAGAGGAACACCGGUGGCGAAGGCGGCCAUCUGGACGGGUACUGACGCUGAGACGCGAAAGCGUGUGUAGCAAACAGGAUUAGAUACCCUGGUAGUCCACGCCGUAACGAUGGGUGCUAGUGUCGCGGGCUUUGACUCCUGCGGUGCCGUAGCUAACGCAUUAAGCACCCCGCCUGGGGGAGUACGGCCGCAAGGCUAAAACUCAAAUGAAAUUGACGG
rnacentral:rRNA from 1 species